UACGUAGGGUGCGAGCGUUGUCCGGAAUGAUUGGGCGUAAAGCGCGCGUAGGCGGCUAUUCAAGUCAGAGGUGAAAGCCCGGGGCUCAACCCCGGAACUGCCUUUGAAACUAGAUAGCUAGAAUCUUGGAGAGGUCAGUGGAAUUCCGAGUGUAGAGGUGAAAUUCGUAGAUAUUCGGAAGAACACCAGUGGCGAAGGCGACUGACUGGACAAGUAUUGACGCUGAGGUGCGAAAGCGUGGGGAGCAAACAGG
rnacentral:rRNA from 1 species